UGGAUCAAUGAUGACCACAAACUUCGGGUGUUGUGUGAGUCAUGGAUGAUGACUACAAGUUUUCGAGUCUGAGGUUCAC
ensembl:snoRNA LOC120097675 small nucleolar RNA SNORD113/SNORD114 family